rnacentral:rRNA from 1 species
AGAGAUGCACUGGGUAUAAAGUGUGCGCAGGCGGUUUUGUAAGACAGAGGUGAAAUCCCCGGGCUCAACCUGGGAACUGCCUUUGCGACUGCAAGGCUGGAGUGCGGCAGAGGGGGAUGGAAUUCCGCGUGUAGCAGUGAAAUGCGUAGAUAUGCGGAGGAACACCGAUGGCGAAGGCAAUCCCCUGGGCCUGCACUGACGCUCAUGCACGAAAGCGUGGGGAGCAAACA